rnacentral:rRNA from 1 species
UACGGAGGGGGCUAGCGUUGUUCGGAAUUACUGGGCGUAAAGCGCACGUAGGCGGCUUUGUAAGUUAGAGGUGAAAGCCCAGGGCUUAACCCUGGAAUUGCCUUUAAGACUGCAUCGCUAGAAUCGUGGAGAGGUGAGUGGAAUUCCGAGUGUAGAGGUGAAAUUCGUAGAUAUUCGCAAGAACACCAGUGGCGAAGGCGGCUUACUGGCCCAUUACUGACGCUGAGGCACGAAAGCGUGGGGAGCAAACAGGG